GCCAAUCAUGCUACCUAUAAGCAGUAAGAAAACAUAAAUAAAGGCCGGGCAUGGUGGCUCAUGCCUGUAAUUCUAGCACUUUGAGGGGCCGAGGUUGCAGUGAGCCGAGAUGAUGCCACUGAACUCCAGCCUGGUGAAAGAGCGACACUACAUCUCAACAAAAAAAAAAAGAAAAAGAAAAAGAAGAAAAUAUGAAUAAAACAAUGUAAUUUUGUCAUAAUUACAGAAGAACACAUUGCUUGCUACAACAAAUACUGAUACGGAAAUGUUCCUUCAUAUAACAGUCAGAAUAGUCAUAUUAAUGUUGUGGUAACAAACAGCCUCUAAUUUUAGUGGCUUAAAUAACAUGGGCUAACUUUUGGUUCACCUUGGCUUCCUACUAUGGGUGAAUGGGAAACUGUAAUUGUAACAACUCAGUGAUCUAGACUGGUAGAGUAGUGACGUGCUUGAAAAUUGCUGGUCUCCAGGCCAGAAAGAAAAAAGAUAGUCUUGCACUGGUAAUUAAAUUUUUGCCCUAUAGUGAUAUGCAUUGUUUCCAUUCACAAGUUGUUUGUGAAAACUCAUCAUCCUUCUCUCCCUACCCCUACACACUACUAAGGAAACUAGAGGGGAAAUCACACAAAUGAUCUUCAA
rnacentral:lncRNA from 10 species